rnacentral:rRNA from 1 species
AAGUCGAACGAUGAAGCCNAGCUUGCUGGGUGGAUUAGUGGCGAACGGGUGAGUAACACGUGAGUAACCUGCCCUUAACUCUGGGAUAAGCCUGGGAAACUGGGUCUAAUACCGGAUAGGAGCGUCCACCGCAUGGUGGGUGUUGGAAAGAUUUAUCGGUUUUGGAUGGACUCGCGGCCUAUCAGCUUGUUGGUGAGGUAAUGGCUCACCAAGGCGACGACGGGUAGCCGGCCUGAGAGGGUGACCGGCCACACUGGGACUGAGACACGGCCCAGACUCCUACGGGAGGCAGCAGUGGGGAAUAUUGCACAAUGGGCGAAAGCCUGAUGCAGCGACGCCGCGUGAGGGAUGACGGCCUUCGGGUUGUAAACCUCUUUCAGUAGGGAAGAAGCGAAAGUGACGGUACCUGCAGAAGAAGCACCGGCUAACUACGUGCCAGCAGCCGCGGUAAUACGUAGGGUGCGAGCGUUAUCCGGAAUUAUUGGGCGUAAAGAGCUCGUAGGCGGUUUGUCGCGUCUGUCGUGAAAGUCCGGGGCUUAACCCCGGAUCUGCGGUGGGUACGGGCAGACUAGAGUGCAGUAGGGGAGACUGGAAUUUCUGGUGUAUCGGUGGAUUGCGCAUAUAUCAUUGAUGAACA